UGGGGAAUAUUGCACAAUGGGCGCAAGCCUGAUGCAGCAACGCCGCGUGAGGGACGACGGCCUUCGGGUUGUAAACCUCUUUUAGUAGGGAAGAAGCGAAAGUGACAGUACCUGCAGAAAAAGCACCGGCUAACUACGUGCCAGCAGCCGCGGUAAUACGUAGGGUGCGAGCGUUGUCCGGAAUUAUUGGGCGUAAAGAGCUCGUAGGCGGUCUGUCGCGUCUGCUGUGAAAACCCGAGGCUCAACCUCGGGCCUGCAGUGGGUACGGGCAGACUAGAGUGCGGUAGGGGAGAAUGGAAUUCCUGGUGUAGCGGUGGAAUGCGCAGAUAUCAGGAGGAACACCGAUGGCGAAGGCAGUUCUCUGGGCCGUAACUGACGCUGAGGAGCGAAAGCGUGGGGAGCGAACAGGAUUAGAUACCCUGGUAGUCCACGCCGUAAACGUUGGGCGCUAGAUGUGGGGACCAUUCCACGGUUUCCGUGUCGCAGCUAACGCAUUAAGCGCCCCGCCUGGGGAGUACGGCCGCAAGGCUAAAACUUGAAAGGAAUUGACGGGGUCAUAGCUGUUUCCU
rnacentral:rRNA from 1 species